AAUUUAAUUAAGUUUACUUCUAUUCUUUAAUUUGCCAUGCAGAUGUCCUCCACGCAAAAUUUAUUCUGGCGAAUAUAAAGCUUAUAACAAAAUUAUUAGAGCUUCUUCCAAAGUGGAUACCUUAUAUAAUAUGUUUCUCCCGCGAACAUUUUCAGUAGACUUUCAUUUUCUCUGAAUCACCUAAAACUUCACAAUUCUUCAACCACUGUAUUUCAAGUAUUUUAAUUCCGGAUAUACCUGACAUAACAUUCCGUCACUAAAUAACAUUAAUUAUAUUACAUGGCAAUACUUUUGCUGUCUAUGCUGGUAAUAUAUUGGUUUCGAUGUCUCACUACUUCACUACAGUCAUUGGACUGCGGCCAUGCUGAGGUGUUACCUUAAAGGGUUUAGCCGAACAAAUCGCCUGUAUUUUAGACAAUCAACCAAUGGAAAACAAAGAAGAACCAAGAGAAGCCGUAGGAGUGGGUCAGUCGAUUACAUCGAUCCCAGCCGUCUUAUACAACCUGAAAGGAUGAAAGGCGAAGCCUACUACGGCCGAAUAUGAACUCAAAAGAUAAAUAGCCGCAAGAAAUGCCUCAAAACAUUUUGUUCGAUGCACUGACGAUUCUCCCAACUCAUAAUACUAAAUAUAUAACGAAAAUGAGGGACUCCAGAAGUCAAAUUAGUGUGUGUGUGUGUGUGUGUGUGUGACUGACUGACUGACUGACUGACUGACUGACUGGCUUGCUUGCUUGCUUGCUUGCUUGCUUGCUUAUGUUAAGAGCUCGAGUUCUAUAAAUAUCUUUAUUAGUCAUUUACCAUUUUUUUUAUUCAAGACAAUAACUUUCCUAAGUCUACCGACAUUUCUUGAAUUCAUCUUCUAAAUUUAGUGAUGAUGAAUUUGAUGCCGAGUUUAUGGUAGGCAACGAAGAACUAUGGAAAUUAUAUUAUAAUCAAUAUCAUCGUCGGGCUUAAAGUUGUCUAAUUGCGAACUCAUUGUUACUUGUAUAGUUAUAUUUAUGUAUUCUAAGCUUGAGUGGUGAGUUUUUUUGUUGAUUUUUUUUUUGCUUAUAUUUUGCUACUCGUAGCGGUUCUGUAGUUAAUGAAUUAUGUAAAAUUUUGCAUAAUAUGUGAAUUUCCAACAAGAAAAAGCUCAUAUAACAAUUAUAAAAAACACCAAAUAAAAGCAGACAGAAAAAUAUUUGAUCACACUACCAAACACACACACACACACAAAGAAAAAAACUAAACAGAAAAUCUGAAAAAUGCUCUACAAAAAUGAUUAACCUCAGUCAGGGGUGUGUUUGUUUGAAUAAAUUUAAGCAACGACAUUGGAGAAUUCCAUGCUGAAUAUUUUUGUUUUAAUCUUCCCUUUCCAAUUUACUAAAUGCAAGCUGAGCAUUUUAUUUGAAGACCCCAACAUUUCGAGAUUACCACUUCUGCACUUAGUAACAUAACUAAGUGCACCAUUAAUCAUAGAUACAAUGUAUGUUUUACGUGCUGAAUUUUAGAAAUGUCUUGCAUAAUUUUACAAUUCCGCUGACAGAUUGUGUGUUCACGUAUGAGCAAUAGCAUACAAGAUAAACCUGACCCUCGAAAGCGCGAGAAUGCUGAGUGGAGAUCUCUCGUCAUUCUAAGUUCUGUGGGGGACCAGAUGGAACUAAGAUUAAGGUAUGUUGUCCGUAAAAAUAAAAGGAAUUCCGUAGGCACCAUAAUCGUGCAUAAAAAUUACUUUUCUGCUCCAAUACAAAUUGGUAAAGUCGUCAGAGCAUCGGCUAAAAUGAUUCGCA